rnacentral:rRNA from 1 species
CCUACGGGAGGCAGCAGUGGGGAAUAUUGCACAAUGGGGGAAACCCUGAUGCAGCGACGCCGCGUGAGGGAAGAAGGUUUUCGGAUUGUAAACCUCUGUCUUUGGUGACGAAAGAUGACGGUAGCCAAAGAGGAAGCUACGGCUAACUACGUGCCAGCAGCCGCGGUAAUACGUAGGUGGCAAGCGUUGUCCGGAAUUACUGGGUGUAAAGGGAGCGUAGGCGGGAAGACAAGUUGAAUGUUUAAACUAUCGGCUCAACCGCGGAACUGCAUUUGAAACUGUUUUUCUUGAGUACCGGAGAGGUCAUCGGAAUUCCUUGUGUAGCGGUGAAAUGCGUAGAUAUAAGGAAGAACACCAGUGGCGAAGGCGGAUGACUGGACGGCAACUGACGGUGAGGCGCGAAAGCGUGGGGAGCAAACAGGAUUAGAUACCCCGGUAGUC